rnacentral:rRNA from 1 species
GGUUAAGCGACUAAGCGUACACGGUGGAUGCCCUGGCAGUCAGAGGCGAUGAAGGACGUGCUAAUCUGCGAUAAGCGUCGGUAAGGUGAUAUGAACCGUUAUAACCGGCGAUUUCCGAAUGGGGAAACCCAGUGUGAUUCGUCACACUAUCAUUAACUGAAUCCAUAGGUUAAUGAGGCGAACCGGGGGAACUGAAACAUCUAAGUACCCCGAGGAAAAGAAAUCAACCGAGAUUCCCCCAGUAGCGGCGAGCGAACGGGGAGCAGCCCAGAGCCUGAAUCAGUGUGUGUGUUAGUGGAAGCGUCUGGAAAGGCGCGCGAUACAGGGUGACAGCCCCGUACACAAAAAUGCACAUGCUGUGAGCUCGAUGAGUAGGGCGGGACACGUGGUAUCCUGUCUGAAUAUGGGGGGACCAUCCUCCAAGGCUAAAUACUCCUGACUGACCGAUAGUGAACCAGUACCGUGAGGGAAAGGCGAAAAGAACCCCGGCGAGGGGAGUGAAAAAGAACCUGAAACCGUGUACGUACAAGCAGUGGGAGCACGCUUAGGCGUGUGACUGCGUACCUUUUGUAUAAUGGGUCAGCGACUUAUAUUCUGUAGCAAGGUUAACCGAAUAGGGGAGCCGAAGGGAAACCGAGUCUUAACUGGGCGUUAAGUUGCAGGGUAUAGACCCGAAACCCGGUGAUCUAGCCAUGGGCAGGUUGAAGGUUGGGUAACACUAACUGGAGGACCGAACCGACUAAUGUUGAAAAAUUAGCGGAUGACUUGUGGCUGGGGGUGAAAGGCCAAUCAAACCGGGAGAUAGCUGGUUCUCCCCGAAAGCUAUUUAGGUAGCGCCUCGUGAACUCAUCUCCGGGGGUAGAGCACUGUUUCGGCAAGGGGGUCAUCCCGACUUACCAACCCGAUGCAAACUGCGAAUACCGGAGAAUGUUAUCACGGGAGACACACGGCGGGUGCUAACGUCCGUCGUGAAGAGGGAAACAACCCAGACCGCCAGCUAAGGUCCCAAAGUCAUGGUUAAGUGGGAAACGAUGUGGGAAGGCCCAGACAGCCAGGAUGUUGGCUUAGAAGCAGCCAUCAUUUAAAGAAAGCGUAAUAGCUCACUGGUCGAGUCGGCCUGCGCGGAAGAUGUAACGGGGCUAAACCAUGCACCGAAGCUGCGGCAGCGACGCUUAUGCGUUGUUGGGUAGGGGAGCGUUCUGUAAGCCUGUGAAGGUGUGCUGUGAGGCAUGCUGGAGGUAUCAGAAGUGCGAAUGCUGACAUAAGUAACGAUAAAGCGGGUGAAAAGCCCGCUCGCCGGAAGACCAAGGGUUCCUGUCCAACGUUAAUCGGGGCAGGGUGAGUCGACCCCUAAGGCGAGGCCGAAAGGCGUAGUCGAUGGGAAACAGGUUAAUAUUCCUGUACUUGGUGUUACUGCGAAGGGGGACGGAGAAGGCUAUGUUGGCCGGGCGACGGUUGUCCCGGUUUAAGCGUGUAGGCUGGUUUUCCAGGCAAAUCCGGAAAAUCAAGGCUGAGGCGUGAUGACGAGGCACUACGGUGCUGAAGCAACAAAUGCCCUGCUUCCAGGAAAAGCCUCUAAGCAUCAGGUAACAUCAAAUCGUACCCCAAACCGACACAGGUGGUCAGGUAGAGAAUACCAAGGCGCUUGAGAGAACUCGGGUGAAGGAACUAGGCAAAAUGGUGCCGUAACUUCGGGAGAAGGCACGCUGAUAUGUAGGUGAAGUCCCUCGCGGAUGGAGCUGAAAUCAGUCGAAGAUACCAGCUGGCUGCAACUGUUUAUUAAAAACACAGCACUGUGCAAACACGAAAGUGGACGUAUACGGUGUGACGCCUGCCCGGUGCCGGAAGGUUAAUUGAUGGGGUCAGCGCAAGCGAAGCUCUUGAUCGAAGCCCCGGUAAACGGCGGCCGUAACUAUAACGGUCCUAAGGUAGCGAAAUUCCUUGUCGGGUAAGUUCCGACCUGCACGAAUGGCGUAAUGAUGGCCAGGCUGUCUCCACCCGAGACUCAGUGAAAUUGAACUCGCUGUGAAGAUGCAGUGUACCCGCGGCAAGACGGAAAGACCCCGUGAACCUUUACUAUAGCUUGACACUGAACAUUGAGCCUUGAUGUGUAGGAUAGGUGGGAGGCUUAGAAGUGUGGACGCCAGUCUGCAUGGAGCCGACCUUGAAAUACCACCCUUUAAUGUUUGAUGUUCUAACGUUGACCCGUAAUCCGGGUUGCGGACAGUGUCUGGUGGGUAGUUUGACUGGGGCGGUCUCCUCCUAAAGAGUAACGGAGGAGCACGAAGGUUGGCUAAUCCUGGUCGGACAUCAGGAGGUUAGUGCAAUGGCAUAAGCCAGCUUGACUGCGAGCGUGACGGCGCGAGCAGGUGCGAAAGCAGGUCAUAGUGAUCCGGUGGUUCUGAAUGGAAGGGCCAUCGCUCAACGGAUAAAAGGUACUCCGGGGAUAACAGGCUGAUACCGCCCAAGAGUUCAUAUCGACGGCGGUGUUUGGCACCUCGAUGUCGGCUCAUCACAUCCUGGGGCUGAAGUAGGUCCCAAGGGUAUGGCUGUUCGCCAUUUAAAGUGGUACGCGAGCUGGGUUUAGAACGUCGUGAGACAGUUCGGUCCCUAUCUGCCGUGGGCGCUGGAGAACUGAGGGGGCUGCUCCUAGUACGAGAGGACCGGAGUGGACGCAUCACUGGUGUUCGGGUUGUCAUGCCAAUGGCACUGCCCGGUAGCUAAAUGCGGAAGAGAUAAGUGCUGAAAGCAUCUAAGCACGAAACUUGCCCCGAGAUGAGUUCUCCCUGACUCCUUGAGAGUCCUGAAGGAACGUUGAAGACGACGACGUUGAUAGGCCGGGUGUGUAAGCGCAGCGAUGCGUUGAGCUAACCGGUACUAAUGAACCGUGAGGCUUAACCUU